UACGGAGGAUCCGAGCGUUAUCCGGAUUUAUUGGGUUUAAAGGGUGCGUAGGUGGUUUAUUAAGUCAGCGGUGAAAGUUUGUGGCUCAACCAUAAAAUUGCCGUUGAAACUGGUUAACUUGAGUAUAUUUGAGGUAGGCGGAAUGCGUGGUGUAGCGGUGAAAUGCAUAGAUAUCACGCAGAACUCCAAUUGCGAAGGCAGCUUACUAAACUAUAACUGACACUGAAGCACGAAAGCGUGGGGAUCAAACAGG
rnacentral:rRNA from 2 species